ACCAUGCUGAAUAUACCGGUUCUCGUUAGAUCACCGAAGUCAAGCAUCAUUAUCAGUACUUGGGUGGGUGACCACCUGGGAACACCGCUUGCCGUU